CCCUUAGAUGUUCUGGGCCGCACGCGCGCUACAGUGAUGAAUUCAACGAGUUUAUAACCUUGGUUGAAAAGCCUGGGUAAUCUUUUGAACUUUCGUCGUGAUGGGGCUAGACCCUUGCAAUUAUUGGUCUCCAACGAGGAAUUCCUAGUAAACGCAAGUCAUCAGCUUGCAUUGAUUACGUCCCUGCCCUUUGUACACACCGCCCGUCGCACCUACCGAUUGAAUGGUCCGGUGAAAUCUUCGGAUUGAGACUUUGAUUUCUUCACGGAAAACGCUGUUUUAAAAAGUUGAUUAAACCUUACCAUUUAGAGGAAGGUGAAGUCGUAACA
rnacentral:rRNA from 1 species